CCUUGCCACGCCCGCUACAGUAAACUUAAAGGAAUUGACGGACCCCGCACAAGCGGUGGAUCAUGUUGUUUAAUUCGAUGAUACGCGAAGAACCUUACCAGGUCUUGACAUCCCCCGCGAUGCUUUAGAGAUAAAGCGGAGGUAUUCGGGGAGACAGGUGGUGCAUGGUUGUCGUCAGCUCGUGUCGUGAGAUGUUGGGUUAAGUCCCGCAACGAGCGCAACCCCUAUUGCUAGUUACCAUCAUUAAGUUGGGGACUCUAGCGAGACUGCCAGUGAUAAACUGGAGGAAGGUGGGGAUGACGUCAAAUCAUCAUGCCCCUUAUGACCUGGGCUACAAACGUGAUACAAUGGCUGGAACAAAGGGAUGCGAAGCAGUGAUGUGGAGCGAAACCCAUAAAAACAGUCUCAGUUCGGAUUGAAGUCUGCAACUCGACUUCAUGAAGUCGGAAUCGCUAGUAAUCGCGGAUCAGAACGCCGCGGUGAAUACGUUCUCGGGGUUU
rnacentral:rRNA from 1 species